UACGUAAGGUCCGAGCGUUGUCCGGAAUCAUUGGGCGUAAAGGGUACGUAGGCGGAUAAGCAAGUUAGAAGUGAAAGCCUAUAGCUCAACUAUAGUAAGCAUUUAAAACUGCUCAUCUUGAGGUAUGGAAGGGUAAGUGGAAUUCCUAGUGUAGCGGUGAAAUGCGUAGAUAUUAGGAGGAAUACCGGUGGCGAAGGCGACUUACUGGCCUUAAACUGACGCUGAGGAACGAAAGCGCGGGUAGCAAACAGG
rnacentral:rRNA from 1 species